rnacentral:rRNA from 1 species
UGCAGUCGAGCGCCACCUUCGGAGUGAGCGGCGGACGGGUUAGUAACGCGUGGGAACGUGCCCUUCUCUAAGGAAUAGCCACUGGAAACGGUGAGUAAUACCUUAUACGCCCUUCGGGGGAAAGAUUUAUCGGAGAAGGAUCGGCCCGCGUUAGAUUAGAUAGUUGGUGGGGUAACGGCCUACCAAGUCUACGAUCUAUAGCUGGUUUUAGAGGAUGAUCAGCAACACUGGGACUGAGACACGGCCCAGACUCCUACGGGAGGCAGCAGUGGGGAAUCUUGGACAAUGGGCGCAAGCCUGAUCCAGCCAUGCCGCGUGAGUGAUGAAGGCCUUAGGGUCGUAAAGCUCUUUCGCCAGAGAUGAUAAUGACAGUAUCUGGUAAAGAAACCCCGGCUAACUCCGUGCCAGCAGCCGCGGUAAUACGGAGGGGGUUAGCGUUGUUCGGAAUUACUGGGCGUAAAGCGCACGUAGGCGGAUCAGAAAGUUGGGGGUGAAAUCCCAGGGCUCAACCCUGGAACUGCCUCCAAAACUCCUGGUCUUGAGUUCGAGAGAGGUGAGUGGAAUUCCGAGUGUAGAGGUGAAAUUCGUAGAUAUUCGGAGGAACACCAGUGGCGAAGGCGGCUCACUGG